GCGCAACUUACACGUAUAUACUUCUCGGAAUCACCUCUCCAUUUGCUCACCAAUGAACUGGCCGUUAUGUUAAAAAAGGUGCAAUGGCAUUCUGUCGCGACUGCCUUCGCUAACAUCGUCUUCCCUGUUUCGUAAAUUCCUUGGAGAAAACGGGCCAUCAAAAAAGAUAGGAUACUUAAGGGGAUACACAACGGCCUCCUUAACAGCGGUUUUACAUUCCUCUAGGCCUACUACGUCGUCCCAAUGUACAUUCAGUUUGUUCAAUAUGAUCUCCUGUGACAGUACAAAGAUGAAAUGGCGUAUAAUCUCCGUAUUAACAAUCUUCCGCAAUUCCGGAUUGUCUGAAUAAAGCUUUUCAAUGCAAUUCGAUAUCUUCGAUUGCCUGGAUUGUUCCAUUGGGACGUUAAAUAACUCUUCUGAUGGAGCUCUAUCACUUUCAUUGGGGAAAAUUGGUGUCACUGUCAUUGCGAGAUUAAUAUGUUAUUUUCUUGCACAACAUGGGAUAUUUCUGAAAUUUCAUCUUGUAAUAAUUUUCAUACUCUGCAACAAUAAUUUCCAAAUCGAUGUUGUCGCAGAUUCGAUACUCCAGAGGUAGACGAGCUUCCCGGAAUAAUACAUCGCUAACGUCUAUAUACCUGAAAAAUAAAGUUUAUAAUGGAUUAAAAAAAUUUUGUGCGAUGUCCGUAUAGUAUAUACGAUAACCGCCAAAUAACUGUUUUAUCUCUAGGUAAGAUUGACAGAAAGAAUGUAUUGUCUACUUAAUAAAUC